rnacentral:misc_RNA from 1 species
AAAAGCAAAUUCUAGAUUUCCUCACACUACAAUCAAUAAUGGUCCUACACAGCUCAUUCACGAAGUGUGAUUAAAACAUUCAAUAUAGCAUUCUAUAUCUGGUGCAAUGGUUGACCCAUCUUGGGCUUGAAACCAAGAGAUCAAAUGUGGAACUGCAACUGGGUAAUUGCUUUAUGAAUUAUUCAUACUACACUACAGCAUUUACACAAACUUUAAGAAUUCUAGGUCAGAGAUUAUAACCAAAUUGAACGUAUUCCAAUAGGCAAAUAACUACUCCUGCAAUACAAAUGCAGUACAUCCCUCAAAGUGGGUCACUUUGUUCAAUCAUUAACAUCACUGAAAAUCUCCUAUGAUUGAAUCGUUGUCUAAUGAUAGAAAAGUUUUGCUGAUUUCAAUAGGGGUGAGCAGGUUUCGAUUUUAACUGAAAAAACCAAACCGAACCGAUUUAAUUUAUUUUUUGAUUAAUCAGUUCGGUUUUGAUUUCUCUAAAAAACAAUUAGUUUUAGGUUUGGUUAAUUCAGCAAAAAAAAACCGAAUUAACCAAAACGAACCAAUUUUCUCCCUUGCAAAUGCUACACCGUUUUUAUCCCCCAUAUAAAUAGCAAAAUCCAGCUAUUUUUGAAGGCCCUCAUCCCUCUCCAGAAGAAAAUAGAACGCAACACUCACACCGAAAUUCCCUUUCCUCAGUUCCUCUUCCCUUCCUUCUUCUUAUUGCCUCCUGCCUUCUCCUCCUUCUCCGCCGAUGAUGUCCCUCAGCCCUCGGCCAAGCUACAACCCCUGCAUGUCCCUCCCUGGGCCUUUGCUUCCAUCUUUGGUGAAAGUCUGACAGACAACUCACAGGUAUUGCCUCCGGCUCCGCCCUCACUACAACCUCUACAUGUCCCUCCCUGGCUCCCCUCUCCGUGACAGACAACUCAACUCUCCCCUCCCUUGGCCUCGCCUGCGCUGCACUUGCAUGUGCAAGAUUUGCAGAUUUGUGAGGUAAUUACCCUGUGAUCAUAGACUACAGAUCUAUAUUUGAAGUUUUGAACCAUUUCCAUAAUGCAGAUUUGAGUUAAUUGAUGUAUUUGAACCAUUUGCACAUUUGUAGAUGUGUGAAAUGUGAUUCUAUGUAUUUGGUGAUUUGCAGAUUUUUUAUGUAUUUGGACCAUUUGCGUAGCUCAAUUUUCCUUUUUAUUUGGUGAUUUUUGUUAUUGUGCUAGGGAAUAAAGGAUCUGGUAAAGUUUGCCAAGGAUUUGGGGGAGUUUUGCUCUGUAAUGCGAAUUGGAGAACCAAUUGACCGAACUGAACCAAUUUUUCAGUUCGGUUAAAUUUGGUUUUACUAGUAGUUUGAUUUGUUACAAAUAUAUAUUUUUUGGUUAUUCGGAUUUUGCAGCUCGUUACAGUUCAGAAUCGCUCACUAUAUUGUGGCCCAUACCCCUAGGCAGGAUGGGACCCACGUUUUACCUAUCAUAUACCAACUUCAACUUCAAGUUAAAUAAAAG